rnacentral:rRNA from 1 species
UGGGGAAUUUUGGACAAUGGGCGAAAGCCUGAUCCAGCAAUGCCGCGUGUGUGAAGAAGGCCUUCGGGUUGUAAAGCACUUUUGUCCGGAAAGAAAUCCUUGGCUCUAAUACAGUCGGGGGAUGACGGUACCGGAAGAAUAAGCACCGGCUAACUACGUGCCAGCAGCCGCGGUAAUACGUAGGGUGCAAGCGUUAAUCGGAAUUACUGGGCGUAAAGCGUGCGCAGGCGGUUUGCUAAGACCGAUGUGAAAUCCCCGGGCUCAACCUGGGAACUGCAUUGGUGACUGGCAGGCUAGAGUAUGGCAGAGGGGGGUAGAAUUCCACGUGUAGCAGUGAAAUGCGUAGAGAUGUGGAGGAAUACCGAUGGCGAAGGCAGCCCCCUGGGCCAAUACUGACGCUCAUGCACGAGAGCGUGGGGAGCAAACAGGAUUAGAUACCCUGGUAGUCCACGCCCUAAACGAUGUCAACUAGUUGUUGGGGAUUCAUUUCCUUAGUAACGUAGCUAACGCGUGAAGUUGACCGCCUGGGGAGUACGGUCGCAAGAUUAAAAACUCAAAGGAAUUGACGGGGUCAUAGCUGUUUCCU